UACGGGGGGAGCAAGCGUUGUUCGGAUUUACUGGGCGUAAAGGGCGCGUAGGCGGUCGUGACAAGUCACUUGUGAAAUCUCCGGGCUUAACUCGGAACGGUCAAGUGAUACUGUCGGACUAGAGUACAGAAGGGGCAACUGGAAUUCUCGGUGUAGCGGUGAAAUGCGUAGAUAUCGAGAGGAACACCUGCGGCGAAGGCGGGUUGCUGGGCUGAUACUGACGCUGAGGCGCGAAAGCCAGGGGAGCGAACGGGGAUUAGA
rnacentral:rRNA from 1 species